rnacentral:rRNA from 1 species
CCUACGGGGGGCAGCAGUGGGGAAUUGUUCACAAUGGGCGCAAGCCUGAUGACGCAACGCCGCGUGGAGGAUGAAGGUCUUCGGAUUGUAAACUCCUGUUGCCCGGGACGAAUGGCCUCGACCUAAUACGUCGAGGUGUGACGGUACCGGGUGAGGAAGCCCCGGCUAACUCUGUGCCAGCAGCCGCGGUAAUACAGAGGGGGCAAGCGUUGUUCGGAAUUACUGGGCGUAAAGGGCGCGUAGGCGGCCUGCUAAGUCGAUCGUGAAAUCCCCGGGCUCAACCCGGGAACUGCGACCGAUACUGGUUGGCUUGAAUUCGGGAGAGGGAUGCGGAAUUCCAGGUGUAGCGGUGAAAUGCGUAGAUAUCUGGAGGAACACCGGUGGCGAAGGCGGCAUCCUGGACCGGCAUUGACGCUGAGGCGCGAAAGCCAGGGGAGCAA